GUGAGAAUACCCUAGCGGCUAGCGCUACCCUCGACCGCCGCCACCACGUAGACAUCGCCCACCUCCUCCCCUACCGCCGUGCUAUCCAAGGAGGAGGAUCGUCUGACGAUCCAGCCAUGGUCACCCAAAAUCUUGCUGGGUGACUCCGCCAGAAGAGUGGAGAGCUGGGGUGUUCGCGGCUGUAUGGAAGCAGAGCUCCGCUGUCGGCGGCAGCACGGCCGGCUGAUUUGUGACUGGUCGGAGGGUGGGCUUCAGAUACCUACGGUGAUUGCGAGGGGACAAAUGCGCUGCACUUAUGUCAGUAAUCAGGGUAUGCCCGUAUCUGUUAAUUAUUUAGCAAGUUCUUGUUCUUUCCAUAGGUUUGCUGAACAUUCCAAUGGUCGCCUUGAGCAUGCUAAAAUGCUUUUGAGUGCCUCUUAGUCACAAAUCAAGUCACACACCACAUCUCGUUUUUUUUGUUUUGGUAAUUUAAAAUAACUUGUUUUCAAUGUUCUUUUAUUGUUCUCAAAUUUUCAAAAGUUCAGAGCCUCUACUGCUAAUCCACAUCUACUCCAGACUCUAGACUUAUACCAUCCGUCAGUUGAUCGACACGUCGGCCAUGGAAGCUUUAUUCGUGCCCCCUUUUGCGCACAUGGCUUGUCUCAGCCAUUAUUCCCUCCCUGCAUAACACGUCUCCUCUCCUCUCCUCUCGCACUGCACUCAUUCCAUCCAUGGAAGCUUUUCUACUCAGCGAAAAUGCAUACCGCCAGCCACGGCCCUAAGGUUAAAAAUGGUCAAAUGAUUCAACUUGUUCACAGCAUUAGUAGUAAUCUUGACAAGCAUAGUAUUCCUGACCUUCUAUUUUCUUGAUGUUUCCUACUGUUUGACCCAUCUGCAGGUUUUUACAGUCCAGGUGUUACUGGUUCACUUGCUACAGCUACAACAUAUACUCUUUGCUGUUAUUGUCACUGAAUCCACUAAGACAUGGCUGGAGCAUGCUAAUCCCAAUCGAAGAGGUCAUGCUGGUGAGAAUUUUGGUGGCACUUAGCUUUGGCACUGUGAUGUACCUAAUAAUGUAGACUCAUUGGUGGCUAGCGAUUAAGUGCUUUGGAGCAUCAUUUUCUCACUCUCAGUUUGUUUGCUAUCUGGAUGCGAAUCCUAGGUGUAGUUCUUGGUGUCCAAGCCUUCUUUGUUUUGUUCAUUAAUUGCAACUAUAUACAGGGUAUUCUCUUCUA